CCACAGCCGUGUGACAAUUCAACAAGCCAUGCCGUGACGAGCAAGGAACAAAGAAGUUUGUGGGGAAAACGCAAGGGGAAGAAAUUGAAGAAAGGUUGCUUCUUUGGCACAGAAAAUCCCUGAUCUGCUGAGAUGUUGACAGUCUUUUGCUCAGUCACACUGAUGUCAGCACUCUUUCAGAAAACAGCUUCCCAGUUCAGCUUUAAAUGCUGAACCUGCCAACAGUUUGUUGACUUAGUAGAUGUAAUAACCAAAGUCGACCAGCUGGGGGAGUCUAGCGGUAGUGAGCCAUAGUAAAGAACACGGAACUUCCUCCUCGGUCGAUACACGCAGUAGCAGAAGAAAGAGCGUCUCUGUGGCUCAUUUAUCAAAUUAUUUCCCUUUUCAGUCCCCCUGAUGGCCGUCCACCACAGUCAGCUCUGAGCCUGGACGCAGGAAUGGGAAGGCUGGCGGCGAACUGAUUUCUUACGGCUUGCCAGCUGCUCUCCUCCUGUUUGGUUUGAAAGUGUGACUGAGGUGUGAUUCAGGACUUUUCCCCACCUGAGCUGUGGAUUCCCGCUGCUCCUCCAGAGUUUCCAUAGGCCUCUCUUCUCAGCUACUCCUCUGGGAAAGUGAUGAUAUGAAAAUGGAAAGAAUACAACUGCAAGACUACCAAGACAUUGACAUCCACCUAAGCACUGGAGGAGCUACAGGGAUCCACUGCUCAGGUGAGAAGAUAUGUUGUAAUUGACAGCCAUUAGUUGUGCACUACAGAACUGUGGUGUUAAUGGCACAAAAACCAUUCUUAAAGGGACAUAGUGCCAUUUUACAACACAAUCCAGUAACUAUGUCACCUUCAGUUGUUAUAAAAGUGCUGCAUAUGUCAACACGACUUGAACAAAAUUUGACUUUUGCAAUUCAUUGCUUUGAAAUUGGCCUUCUGUUUGUUUAAGAAGCUCUGACAGUCUGUCAUCGCAACAGCGUUUCUCCAUUAUGCCGUUUGCAACGUUUUUUUUAGGAGCUUCGGAGUCAGAAGUAGAAGUGAACCCAGCAGACUCGCAGUCCCAACAGGUGUUUGCUAAUUGCUGCUGCCGCUAGUCUGGAGGGGCCUGAGCGAGGAAGGUGCUUCAUUGAAUCCUGAACGAUUCAAGGAUUGUCCCAGAAAUGCACAAAAUAUUCAAGGCAACACUCCAGGGAUGUUUGUGAUGAUGGAAUAGCAUAAUAACACGAUCGAAAAAGAAGAUUUUACAUCAUACAGCCCCUUUGACAGAAUGCCAUAAGAAGUCCCGUUAGCAAUUUGUAGGAGAAAGAAAAACAAGUGGAAGACGGUUCUCUGGUUAGACGGGAAAAAUAUUAACUAUUUUAGCCUGUGUGCAGAGAUAAGAUGGAUUAUGCAAAACACGUGGCAGUUCUAAGAAAUUCAGGCUGCGAGAGACUUUAAGACUUGAGCAGAGGUUCACCUUCCAGCAAAACAGCAGCUCUACACAUAAACCCAGAGCUAGCAAGGAUUGGUUUAGACCAGAGCGUGUUGACAGAAUAGAGCGGCCCAAUCAAAGCCAAGACCUAAAUCUAGGGAAGACCUUAAAACCUGCUGUUAACAGGUGCUCUCAGGGCAGUCUGACUGAGCUUGGGCAUUUUUUUUUUUUUUUUGGCAAAGAAAUUUCACUGUGCAAAAACACAUCCCAAAGCUGCAACUGCAUCAAAAGGCACAUCUACAAAGCAUUGAGUCAAGGAGCAGCUGAGUACAAAUGUGAGACGAACUUUCCAUUUUUAUAUUUAUGAAAAACGUGCAGGAUUUCCCAGUGUUAAAAUCCCAGUAAAACGCAGUGAAGUAUGGGGCUUUUAAAGAGACAAACGCCGCAUUUUCCAAGUUUGAGCCAAUGGGAUGAAGUCCCUCUGCCGUGUUAGCAGUCACCACACAAUCCAGUCACAAGUAUGACAGGAUCUGAUGCUCCCCGCAUACUAAUCCCCGCAAACCUGCAACACCGACUUAUUUUAUUUCCCUGCGACGUGUUUGUUUUCAUAAACCAGCCUCUCCACCCACACCUCCCCCUACAUUCCCAACUUUUUUUUUUUUUUUUUUUUGAUGUCUCUCUCAUCGGACCCCCCCCCCGGAGUCGCUCCUCACGCGUGACCGGGGGCCGGGGGUGCGCGCGCGCUGAGACGCAGCCCCGAAUUAGAGGCGAAACAAAACGCAACUUAUUCCGCUUCAAAGAGACGAGACGGCAGAAAACCCGAAGGUUUCGCGACGCCGACGUGAGGCGCGUCUCGCCGUGGACUCUUGCAGCUGUACAUUGAACAUAACGUGGCUUAAGAAGCUGGCUGCUGGUGUAAUUCAUCAUCCUUACCAGGCAUUAGGAAGAUGCGACGUGAUUGGAGGCAGGGAGGAAAAGCAACGCUCUUGCACAGCUCGGUAUUCAGCUGAGGACUUUGUAAAGUGUAGAGGGGGGCACAGGGGUCACGAGGUGUGCGUGUGUGUGUGUCUGAGCAUUUUUUUGUGUGUUUUUCUGCGUGUCUGUGUGUGUGUGUAUGAGAGAGAGAGACGGCAGCAUCACCAGUCCUCCAGGGCUCAGCAGGCUAAUUAAUAAUGAAUCCCAGAGAGUCUGUGUUUGAAAUGCAGAUGUGCAACUGCCAGCUCCGCCUGCUCCUUCAGAGGGACCUGUCGGUUCAUGUGUGUGUGUGUGUGUGUGUGUGGGUGGAUGGGUGGGUUUGUGUGCUCCACAGGGGGAAAGUAUGUCGGCUGGUUGUUUAGCAGUGGCAGAGAACUUGCUCACAUCCUGCACGAAACUCACGGGGGCCAUUCAUUAAACAUCGACCACAUUUUUGACUUUUGAGCGAGAUUUCUCCAGGAGGCAGCCACAGGAGGAAAGCUGAUUUCAUGUGGGAAGUUUUUGCAACAACUUUGGCCUCUUUUUUUCUUUUUCUUCUUCUUCUUCAUUUGGCUCCGAGGUGC